GGAGUGUAGCUCAGUGGUAGAACUUGUGCUUAGCAUACCCAAAGCCCUGGGUUUGAUCCUCAGCACCA
rnacentral:tRNA from 1 species